AAUUAAUGGUUUGUAUAUAUUAGGCCAGGAAUAUUUAUUGCUGAAUUAUCUACAUUUUGUACAUCAUACUAUUCUAUCGAAUGGCAGAUAUGAUGAUUUUAAUGCGUGAACACGAUCUUGUUUACACAUUUCAUUAUUAAAUUAGUCGCCCUUGAACAUUAUGUAAGGUUUAUGAUUAUUUAUAUUAAUAUGAUUAUAUAGAGUGUAAGGUUUCUGAUUAUUUAUAUGAUUAUAUAGAGUCCUGUACAUAUUAAGAAUUAUUAUUAAAUAUGAGGUUUAUAUUGCAAACCAUUAAAAUAUUGUUAAGUUAUAAAUUCAACAGUUGACAAAUGUCGUCAAUAGAUGUCACAGGCUAACAAAAUUACAUCGCGGUAGCGUUGUGUGUAAAAAUUUGUAUAAGAAGUCCAAAGUAAUUAUGAAUAAAUCAAGAACCAAACGCAUCAAUGUAAAAUUGGCAGAUUAAAGCAAAGUGUGAACAAAGUUAGCCUGUUUAAUUUAUAUGUCUGACACCCAAAAGGUCAGAAGCGGGAUAAAUAAGGCUCUAGAAAACUAACCUUACUACGCCCACGGAUCGGUAAAACUUACGCUCAUCAUCUGUGACGUGGAGGACGACACUAGCCGAGGAGAAGGGUCUGGUGCUCGGCUAGUAAGAGGAAGUGGCUUAAUGAUAAAAGGAGCCCAUGUGCUUAGUCGAGGGGAAGGACUAACACAUAGGGAAUGACCAAGGAGCAUCCGAGGCUGAGGAUGUAGGUCACAUGUGCUUAGUCGAGGGGAAGGGCUAACACAUGGGAGUGACCAAGGAGCAUCCAAGGCUGAGGGUGUAGGUCAACAGGGAAGGAUUGGGAGGAUGAGCUCGCGGAUAGAGCAAGGAGCAUCCGAGGUUAGGAUGUAGGGUCCAUGUGCUUAGUCGAGGGGAAGGACUAACACAUGGGAGUGACCAAGGAGCAUCCGAGGUUAAGGAUGUAGGUCAACAGGAAAGGAUUAGGAGGAUGUGCUCGAGAAUAGAGCAUGGAGCAUCCGAGGUUGAGGAUGUAGGGCGACAGGAAAGAAUUAGAAGGAGGAGCUCGAGCAUAGAGCAAUAUGUAACAUUUGAUAAAAUGGACAAGGACACGAUGAUUCGAAGAGAACGGUUGCGUGGAAAGCGAUCGAGUGAACGACGAUCGCGUAAGCAGCGGUCGAGCAGGCAACAAUCAAGCGGCUCUGAUGACAGGGACGAAUACGAAAGAAGGAGAUGGAAAACAAGGACAAGGACAGGACAGAGGAGACGGCAUGUGUCUUCCUCUUCAGGAUCUGAUAUGGGGUCACCGCAGCUUCCGCGCAAGGUUGAGCGUGGUAAGGAGGACGACGGUUCAGAUACAAAGGUAUUAGUAGAUAAAUUCUUGAAUAUUCUUGACAAAAUAAAAGGUUCAGAUAAGCCCAAACUUACGUUCAACACAAAUGUUAUCCCCGAAUUUGACCCAAUGGCAAAGGAACAAACUAUCCUUACUUGGCUGACGAAAGUGGAAGAAUGAGCUCACAUAUAUGGGUGGGAAGACAGGGAAAUUAUCCACUAUUCCUUGCCCAAGCUUUCUGGUGUCGCUAAAACUUGGUAUCAGGGCUUAUCUAGCCUAUUAUUUUACAUGGACUGAGUGGAAACAAAAACUUAUAGAAUCUUUUCCCCAAAGCGAGAACUAUGCUGAGUUAUUGCAUAAAAUGUUAGCAAAAACAGUUAGAUACGGUGAGUCGUUUGAACAUUACUAUCAUGCGAAAAUGAACUUGUUAAAUCGUUGCAAAAUUUAUGGCAAGGAAGUGGUAGACUGUUUGCUGUACGGGGUUGAAGAUCGUGCCGUUAAAGUGGGUGCUCAAGCCGCUCAAUUUAAGCAACCUGAGCAAGUGCUCAAAUACUUUAGAACCGUGAAGGUAGGCAAAGUUCGUGACUCCAUUAACGAUGCCAACCUGAAAAAAACAAAUCAAUCUGGCACGAGCAGGGCGGGCCCUAGUAAUAACGGAAUCCGUUGCUUCAAUUGCAACGAAAUAGGUCACCCUAGCUUUAAAUGUACAAAACUUAUCGCGAAGUGUACGACCUGCGGGAGGAUUGGUCAUUAGGCGAUUAACUGUUUAAAAAAAUAAAACUCCGAUUAAUAAAGACGAUAGUCAGGCCUUAGAUAAAAAUAAUGAACAAAAACAAGUAUCUAAUGUAACUGGCGAUGAUAGUGCUAUUGAUAAAUAUAUACUGGAUAUAAAGAUUAACAACUCAGGGGUCAAGUGUCAUGUAGAUUUAGGGAGUCAAUGCUCGUUAAUUAGACAGAGUACCGCUAAGGAGUUGAACCUGAAUAUCGAUGUGAGGGAAGGUAUGCCGGUAUUAAGAGGAAUAGGAGGAAACCUGACUUGCCCUUUAGGUGUAGCUACCGUGAGUGUAGAAGUUCAAGGGUUAAAAAAAACUAUUGAAAUAUAUGUAGUAGAAGAUUAUGUACUAAGUUACUCUGCAUUACUUGGACAUUCCUUUACAGAGAAGCCUGAUAUUAUAAUGACUAAAACGCCGACUAAGAUCGUAUUUGAAAGACUCGCGUGUACUAAAAUAAGACUCAUAGUGGAAGAUGACACGGAAAUAGAUGGUAACGUUGUACGUCCCAUAAUUGUUAAUGCUGAUGGGCAGGGAAACGGUAGCAUCUACGUCCAUGGCUCGUUAAGGGGUGCUGAAGGAAAAGAGUACUAUCUUUUUCCCGGUACGUACGAGAUAAAAGACAGCCGCACAGCGCUUUUAAUUUAUAAUGCCUCGUCAAACAAGGUUUGUAUAAAGAAGGACACUCUCUUAACACGAGCACUGCGUAAUACGCAUCCAACACCUUUUUUCCAAUCUUGUAGCGUUCUUACCGAUAGGGGACUGGAUGAAGAGAUCAGUUGCAAUCCUGAGCUAACAAAACAGCAGCCCGAAGAACUACAAAAGUUAUUAUUUCAGCAUAGCGAUUGCUUCUCAAGUGGGCUCAAGGACCUUGGGUUUACCAACAUCACUGAGAUGGUUAUCGACCUUAACGACACGGAACCAGUCGUGUAUCGCCCAUGCCGUAUGUCACAUACUGAGCGACAAUUAGUAAGAGACAUGGUUAAGGAGAUGGUAGAUAAUGGUAGAGCUAGGGAGUCAUCUUCAUCAUAUGCCAGUCCUAUAGUCCUGGUACAAAAAAAAGAAUAGUGAGAAACGAUUGUAUGUGGACUAUCGAGCUCUAAACAGAAAGCCCAAAAAGGAACACUACCCCCUACCAAGAGUCGAGGAUCAGUUGGACCUAUUAUCCGGUAACACCCUAUUUACGUCAUUGGACCUUGCUUCCGGGUACUAUCAAACACCAGUCGCCGAGGCCUCCCGUAGUAAAACUGCCUUUGUAACACUUGAUGGGCAGUAUGAAUACAACCGCAUGCCUUUCGGACUAGUUAAUGCACCAUCUGUGUUCCAAAGGACAAUCCAUAAAAUAUUAAAGGAGGCCCAAAUUAAAUAUGCUGUUGUCUACAUGGAUGACAUACUGAUACCAUCCAAGGAUUUUAGGGAAGGCAUCCAAAGACUAGGCGAAGUUCUCACACUGAAAUUAAGUAAGUGCUAUUUCUUUUUGAAUGUCAUAGACUUUCUAGGGUUUGAAGUGAGUGCUAAUGGUAUCCGCCCAGGUAGUAAAGAAAAAACUGAAGCCGUCUCAAAAUUCCCAACACCUACCAAUCAGCACGAAUUGCGUCAAUUUCUGGGUAUGUCUGGGUUCUUCAGACGGUUUAUACAGGGAUAUGUUACGAUAACUGCACCGUUAACGGAUUUACUGAAGAAAGACGCUAACUGGGGUUGGCCGAACAGGAUCAGGCGUUCACAGGCACUAAAAGCGCUCUGGUGGAGUGACCGGUGCUAGCUCUAUACGAUCCUAAGUCCGAAACCGAGCUACAUACGGACGCUUGCAAAGAAGGCCUAGCGGGUAUUUUACUGCAGCGUAACUGUAAUGGUGCAUUGCAACCAGUUUCCUACUUCAGCAGGAAAACUACCGCUGACGAACGCAAGUUUCAUUCGUACGAGCUCGAAACUUUGGCGGUCAUUGCAUCUCUCAAUCAGUUUAGGGUUUAUUUAGUGGGAAUACCAUUUAAAAUCUUGACCGAUUGCAAUGCACUCAGGUCCACUCUAACUAAGCGUGACUUGAUACCUCGCAUAGCUAGGUGGUGGGUCCAACUUCAGAAGUACGACUGUACAAUCGAGUACCGGCCUGGUGUUAGCAUGGCACACGCGAAUGCCCUAAGCAGAAACCCAGUCAAUUCUUCUUCAGGUAACACAUGUACUAGAUGUUUUACAAAUACAGCAAAUCGAACAGGACUGGAUUACGACGGUACAAACUGCAGAUGACGAGAUAAAUAAAAUCAAAAGGAUUCUUUCUGACCCUUCAUCGGCGGAGGUAGCGGACAUACACAAAAACUACAGACUGAAGAAUGUCCAUGUUUACCGCGUGGUAGGUGACGAAAUAAAAUGGCUGGUACCCAAAAGUGUACGCUGGCAAAUUUUAAAAAUGAACCACGAUGACGUUGGCCAUUGUGGUUUUGAAAGAACCCUACAGCGCAUCCGAGGCCAUUAUUGGUUCGCGAAAAUGCGGCGUCUCGUCCGGAAGUAUGUUACCUCCUGCCUUGAGUGCGCGUACCACAAAGCUCCAGGUGAUAAACGAGAAGGAGAACUCCACCCAAUCGAAAAGAUAAAGGUACGAGUUUCACCAGUAAGGCGUUUCAAGAUUUUACGACCUCUUACGGGAUCAAACAUAUUGUAAAUGCCGUUGCAACGCCUCGAGCAAACGGGCAAGUAGAAAGGUUUAAUAGAACGAUUUUAGAUGCUCUAUCGACAGCCAAUCACGGCGGCGACGACAAGUCGUGGGACAACCACAUCACUGAUAUACAGGUUGGUAUGAACACAGCUCGACAUAAAACUACCCAAAAGAGCCCCUCUGAGCUACUAUUUGGAUUUAACAUAAUUAAUAGAACGGAAAGCAUACUUAGUACGGUAAUCAAUGACACCCUAAAUAGGACUCCCAUUGAGGAAUUGGCGGAAGUCAGACAACAGGCUAGUAAAAAAAAAAAAAAACAGCAACAAGUUAAAGAUGCAGUCAAUUUUAAUAAGCAUAGGAAACCAGCGAGGCAGUACCAAGAAGGGGAUUUAGUACGCUUAGCAAGGCAGGCUCCGCACGAUGGAAAAUCUCAAAAGCUCUCUGUUAAGUACCAAGGCCCUUAUCGUAUACUAAAGGUUCUUCCCAAUGAUAGGUUCGUGGUAGAAGAUAUACCAAUGACUCGCAAAAAAGGUAGAAGGUAUGAAGCAGUUGUAUCUAUUGAUAAGAUUCAGCCUUGGAUGUCGUUCUGUAGAGAAUUAGAAUCUGAUGAAUCUAGUUAUAGUGUUGAUGACAGUGAUUAGAUACUUGAUUACUCAGUUUAUGUUUGACAUUUAGUUACUUAAGAAAGAAAUUGUUAUUUUAAUUAUUAUUUUGAUAGAACUUAAAACCAUGGAAACGAUUUAGCGAUAGAUAUGUGUAUGUACUUAGUAUUUAUAGCAAAAAAAAUGUUUAAAAAAAAUGUUACACGUCAUAUAUAAACCUAGUGUAUAAUUAAUUGCAUUUAUUAUUAUUAUUUUUUUUGUAACAUAUAUAUUUUGUUUUUUUUUCUUGAUCUCAAAGCGAAGGGUCUCGCUUUAGGUAGGAUGGCCGAGCUGUAAGGUUUAUGAUUAUUUAUAUUAAUAUGAUUAUAUAGAGUGUAAGGUUUCUGAUUAUUUAUAUGAUUAUAUAGAGUCCUGUACAUAUUAAGAAUUAUUAUUAAAUAUGAGGUUUAUAUUGCAAACCAUUAAAAUAUUGUUAAGUUAUAAAUUCAACAGUUGACAAAUGUCGUCAAUAGAUGUCACAGGCUAACAAAAUUACAUCGCGGUAGCGUUGUGUGUAAAAAUUUGUAUAAGAAGUCCAAAGUAAUUAUGAAUAAAUCAAGAACCAAACGCAUCAAUGUAAAAUUGGCAGAUUAAAGCAAAGUGUGAACAAA